UGGCGUACGGGUGAGUAACACGUGGGUAAUCUGCCUUUUAGUGAGGAAUAACGAUGGGAAACCGUCGCUAAUACCGCAUAAGCCCCCUGACCGAGAGGAAGGGCGGGAAAGUCGCAAGACGCUGAAAGAGGAGCCCGCGGCCGAUUAGCUAGUUGGUAGGGUAAAGGCCUACCAAGGCAAUGAUCGGUAGCCGGCCUGAGAGGGCACACGGCCACACUGGCACUGAAACACGGGCCAG
rnacentral:rRNA from 1 species